UCCACUGCUGUAAGCGGGA
rnacentral:snRNA from 1 species